UCACUGCUUGAAUGGGAAGAGAUUUCAAAGGAAAGGGAUAUGCAUGAUUUUCUCCUACUCAGGAGCCAUUUGAAUUCUGGGGUGGUUGAUUUUUAAGGAUAAAGGAUAUUGCUUUUUGAGUGAUGCUGCACAAAACUUGUCUUUCCCCCGUUGUGACCAGAACUUCUCCUCUCUUAGCUGUCGUAACCAGCAGAAUCCCACUAAUGUCGCUUCUCCAACAUAGCUACCAUCACCACACUUUAUUACAUCCUCCGC
rnacentral:lncRNA from 1 species